AUGCUGCCACGGGAUGAGGCCGAGCCCGGGACAUUGCCCAACGGACUUUCCUCGUCGACCUCUUCGCCGUCCUCCUUCUACUUGACGUCAGGGGGCUUCUUCCACAACUCCGGCGACCUUCUUCCACAACUCCCGCAACCUUCUUCCCCAACUCUGGCGACCAACUCCGAUUGCGACGAGUGUGAAGGUGAAUUCUACAAGGAGGUAGAACCUUGUGACUGCGAAACUGAAGGUUGGAAGGAAAGAUUGCGCUGGUUACCGGUGGCGCUUCUGGCAACUACGUGGUGCCACUGGACGCUGCGCCGUCAGGGAUCACGCGCUCGCUCGUCGAAAUCCUGCGCGACCUCAACAAGCGUGUCCCGGAGGCCAUCGUGCUCUCCGCCACCCGCCGCGCCUCCUCUUCCGACCCCGUCAUCCCAUGAUCACCGAAGACUUCUCGACACGUUGGUGCUGUAUGGCCUGGUUGAGCUCAAGGUUAACGGAGACGGCAAUUGUCAGUUUCGGGCAUUGUCCGAUCAAUUUUACCGAACUCCUGAACACCAUAGAUUUGUGCGGCAACAGGUGGUCAAUCAGCACAACCGUAUGUACAAGAAGCAGAGCGCAUCAGUUCAUGCUCGAGCCCCAAAGAAGGGUUCUGGUGGCUAUGCCGACGACCGUCGAGAGGUUCAUGGACUGGACGGUGUCGUGGUUGCCGAUGUAUGGAGAGGCGAAGUUGCUGCCCAUCAUCUACCUCUGGCUCCCCAGCACACGGGGUGCGGGGCACGUGUACGAUGGCUUCCUCCAUCCGCUGGUGGCAUGGCCGACGUCGACCGGAGCCUGCUUGAGCUGAGGGCUAGGGCGAGGGACAUGACGGCGUCACAACUCAAGGCGGCGUCUGUCAUCGGUCAAGUGUGGCUCGUCGAGGCUGCCCGCUGUGUUUUGUCGCAGUUGUAG
rnacentral:rRNA from 1 species